CCUACGGGAGGCAGCAGUAGGGAAUCUUCGGCAAUGGACGGAAGUCUGACCGAGCAACGCCGCGUGAGUGAAGAAGGUUUUCGGAUCGUAAAGCUCUGUUGUAAGAGAAGAACGAGUGUGAGAGUGGAAAGUUCACACUGUGACGGUAUCUUACCAGAAAGGGACGGCUAACUACGUGCCAGCAGCCGCGGUAAUACGUAGGUCCCGAGCGUUAUCCGGAUUUAUUGGGCGUAAAGCGAGCGCAGGCGGUUAGAUAAGUCUGAAGUUAAAGGCUGUGGCUUAACCAUAGUACGCUUUGGAAACUGUUUAACUUGAGUGCAAGAGGGGAGAGUGGAAUUCCAUGUGUAGCGGUGAAAUGCGUAGAUAUAUGGAGGAACACCGGUGGCGAAAGCGGCUCUCUGGCUUGUAACUGACGCUGAGGCUCGAAAGCGUGGGGAGCAAACAGGAUUAGAUACCCGAGUAGUC
rnacentral:rRNA from 1 species